UAUUGGACAAUGGGCGAAAGCCUGAUCCAGCAAUGCCGCGUGAGUGAUGAAGGCCUUAGGGUUGUAAAGCUCUUUUACCCGGGAUGAUAAUGACAGUACCGGGAGAAUAAGCUCCGGCUAACUCCGUGCCAGCAGCCGCGGUAAUACGGAGGGAGCUAGCGUUGUUCGGAAUUACUGGGCGUAAAGCGCACGUAGGCGGCUUUGUAAGUUAGAGGUGAAAGCCUGGAGCUCAACUCCAGAAUUGCCUUUGAUACUGCAUCGCUUGAAUCCAGGAGAGGUGAGUGGAAUUCCGAGUGUAGAGGUGAAAUUCGUAGAUAUUCGGAAGAACACCAGUGGCGAAGGCGGCUCACUGGACUGGUAUGACGCUGAGUGCGAA
rnacentral:rRNA from 1 species